GGAGAAAUCGGCUAAAGCUGCCGUCAAGCAGCUGACUCUUAUUCAGCGGGUCCUAGGUUCGAGCCCUAGUGCGUCCACCA
rnacentral:tRNA from 1 species